rfam:Nelumbo nucifera unplaced genomic scaffold scaffold00351, whole genome shotgun sequence
AAAUAGGCACCAUUUGGUGCCACAUCAUCGUAACAAUGAAUAAAUGU